rnacentral:rRNA from 1 species
GAGUUUGAUCGUAGCUCAGGAUGAACGCUGGCGGCGUGCCUAAUACAUGCAAGUCGAACGAACAGAUAAGGAGCUUGCUCCUUUGACGUUAGCGGCGGACGGGUGAGUAACACGUGGGUAACCUACCUAUAAGACUGGAAUAACUCCGGAAACCGGGGCUAAUGCCGGAUAACAUGUUGAACCGCAUGGUCCUACAGUGAAAGACGGUCUUGCUGUCACUUAUAGAUGGACCCGCGCCGUAUUAGCUAAGUUGGUGGGUAACGGCCUACCAAGGCGACGAUACGUAGCCGACCUGAGAGGGUGAUCGGGCCACACUGGAACUGAGACACGGUCCAGACUCCUACGGGAGGCAGCAGUAGGGAAUCUUCCGCAAUGGGCGAAAGCCUGACGGAGCAACGCCGCGUGAGUGAUGAAGGUCUUCGGAUCGU